CAACGCGUUGGGAGCUCUCCCAUAUGGUCGACCUGCAGGCGGCCGCGAAUUCACUAGUGAUUCGUAUUACCGCGGCUGCUGGCACAGAGUUAGCCGGUGCUUAUUCUGUCGGUAACGUCAAAACACUAACGUAUUAGGUUAAUGCCCUUCCUCCCAACUUAAAGUGCUUUACAAUCCGAAGACCUUCUUCACACACGCGGCAUGGCUGGAUCAGGCUUUCGCCCAUUGUCCAAUAUUCCCCACUGCUGCCUCCCGUAGGAGUCUGGACCGUGUCUCAGUUCCAGUGUGACUGAUCAUCCUCUCAGACCAGUUACGGAUCGUCGCCUUGGUGAGCCGUUACCCCACCAACUAGCUAAUCCGACCUAGGCUCAUCUGAUAGCGCAAGGCCCGAAGGUCCCCUGCUUUCUCCCGUAGGACGUAUGCGGUAUUAGCGUCCGUUUCCGAGCGUUAUCCCCCACUACCAGGCAGAUUCCUAGGCAUUACUCACCCGUCCGCCGCUCUCAAGAGGUGCAAGCACCUCUCUACCGCUCGACUUGCAUGUGUUAGGCCUGCCGCCAGCGUUCAAUCUGAGCCAUGAUCAAACUCUAAUCGAAUUCCCGCGGCCGCCAUGGCGGCCGCAAGCAUGCGAC
rnacentral:rRNA from 1 species